rnacentral:lncRNA from 1 species
AAGAAAGCCCAAAGACAAAACCAGAGGCAACUGGCUGCUGCAUCGCCCACCUAGUGGCAGUAGUGUGAGCUAUGGACAAAAGAUCUAAGUCUCCAGGACAAAGAGUUGUGCAGCUGCUCAUUUUCCUGUUGACUUCUGUCUAAGACUUGGAGAUGUUUGUAAGAUUGGGACCUACCUACAGAGCUCUCUGGAACUGGACAACAGACAGAUCUGGUGAAUUAUAAUUAUGGAGUUCUCCAGAAGAACUUCCUCUCAAGGAUGCACAAUUUUCCAGUUAGUCACAAGGCAGCAUCACAAGCAAAAUGGGGCUCUCUCUUUAUUUAACAAGGCCUAUCUUCUACACACAGUUUCUGCAAUUUCCGCUUCUCCUUAUGUGUAUCUUUCUCUGCCCUUUUGUAUGUUCCACUUAUGUAGGAUUGUUUGCCCCACAGUCACACACAAUACAAUCAUCAUGCUAACCCCCUCCCCAAAAACUCCCUACUCCCUUUUCAUCUCUCCCAUUGCUCCUCCACACUGGUCCUGCGCUGGCCUGUUUGCUCCCUGAGUAAAUUAGAUCCCUGCAUGUGCUGCUCAUCUUCCCUCCCUCCACCUUCCACCAUACUCUCUUCAUGUCCACAUCUGCCUCUUGGCAAAUGCCCUGUGGAAGAGAGAUUUUUCCCAGGCUCUCCUCCCUUGUAGGUCUCUUUGUGCCUCCGCAUCCUGAGUUUCCUCUGACUCUUGUUUCUUUCUGCUUCUUGUGACAGCUAUGGUUACAGCUAACAAGCAUGGGAGGAAGGAUCUGAGGGAAAGUUGUGCUUUUGGUUCACUAAAUCCUUAGAUUUGAUUUGGGUAGUCAGAAAGUGCUAAAAAGUUUGUUUCAAUGGAACAUCCUGCAGUCCCAAAUGGGGUAAACUUAUCUUGUUUUUCAUCUGCUGUCAUGGUUAACUGGCAACUUCCAGGUACAAGGUGACUGUCUGGCAUCUCAGGUGCACACAUGAAGGCAAUUUCAGAAAGAAUGCCUAUGGAUUACAGACCAUUCAGCUGAGUUUUAUCUGGGGCUUUCUGGCACGGAAUAUGUACCAGCAUCUUAGAUCAAUUCUGGCACAUUAUUUUAAAAGUUUUUUGUUCCUGAGUUCCUUGGUACCUGAUCAUUCCAAUAUUUUCUGCCUUACAAAGUCACAGGAAAACAGGUUUGGAGCUGAGUAUUUUCAAUCACCACUGACUUGGUGACAGACACUAAACUCAUUUCACUUAGGAUUAUAGGUUGAACUCAAAUUGGGAUCCCUGAAGAGAAAGACCAGUCCUUUAUCCAGUACCUUAAGGAAAACAUUUCUUAUUUCCAUUAACAACCAGAAAAGGAAAGACAGUGCAACAGCUGGAAGAGCACUGCAAAUAUCAGGGUUACAAAGAGUAACCCAGAAACCUUUAAAAUAAUUUAAAGUGGUGAUAAAACCAGUAACACACUGCACUUCUAUUAAUGCAGUAAUCCUUAACCCUUGAACCUAACUUGUACUUACACUAAGAAGUCAGAAGAACUGUUUUUACUUGAUCUACCAAGGCAAUUUCCCAUAGUUUGAUUGGAAAUAGUGCUGAUGAUUUUCUCAUUUAAGUUAUCUACAAAGCACUAAAAAAAAGUGACUCUGCUGGAAUUAUCCUUCUAAGAAAAUAAGAAAAAAAUAGAAAUUUCUUACAACUAAGAAAUGGAUCAAGAUAACAUUGGUCUGUGAGAUUUAAAUCUAUCAAAAUAUGUGAGCAUACCACAGAUAUGAUUUCUUCAGUUCUCUGCAAGGUAACCAAAGCAAUUCCAAGAAGUCUUAUUUUAUUAGAACUCAAAUUUAUUAAGUAUGACCUAUCUAAGAUCAUAGUGGGCAGACAACUACCUUGGACGUGGGGUUAAGAGAAGAUAAAAUUCAAAAGUUUGAAAGUAAGUAAAGGAUAAGCAAGAUUCUUUGAAUGAUCAACAGCACUCCACAGGCACACAGAGACACAAAAACAGCUAAAAAGGCAAGGACAAAAUUAAACAGUAAUGAUGAUUUAUAGUAAGAUACUCUGAGACAUGAUAGAAGUCUCAGUACACCAAAAGGAAAAUCUUGUUUGCUCAAAUUAUUUGUUUCUUCUGUCUAAUGAAUGUAAUUCUAAUAUACAAGUGAUAACACUGGCAUUUCUUUGAAAUGUUGAUUCAGUUUAAUUAUGAAAAUCACCAAGGUAUUUUCUAGCUGCUGCAUCACUCCCUGUACUAAGAUUAAUCACAUCAACAUCAUUCAUUUAAUCUUCAAAGAGGAAGCAGUUGUCCACAAAAGCCUUCAAAUAGCUUCAUUAGUGCAAUUUUUCAGUCUCAAACACUUAGCUAGCAGCAUAUGAUUGAGAGUAAGGUCAUUAUAUUCAUCUAUUUCCUAAUCUAAUUUUUGUAAUGUUUCUACAUUUAAUGUAGGAAUGUGUAAGUGUGGAGUUUUUGCCUUCUCUUUGUUUGUAAAACAGCUCAAAACAUGAAGAAAAUAAUGAUUCUAAUUAUAAAAUAUUUGAUUGCUAUGGUUUUAAGUCAUGAAAUUUAAUGUACAGGCCCAUGGCCAGUUCAUUUUUUCUUUUUUCUUUUUUUAAUGUGAAAAGAAUUUAGUGUAGAAAUGCUCUAUUUUCUUGUCUCUUGUAGACAAAGAAAAACUUAGCGCAUGAGAGACGUGUCUGACUUCAGAAACUGGAAUUACAAAAGUCACUGCAAAUAAAAUUUCUUUGGUGUUUUAAAAUGCAAGAUGAAUUCUAUAUUUAAAAACAGAAGCCUCACUUAUGUUUCUCUAAUAAGACCCAUUCUUAACAUCCUUUUCUUUGAUGAAAGCAUUAAUAUUCCCUUUCCUUAUUGGAAACCAACAGGUAUCAGAGUCCCACAAAAUAACACUGUAUUGUUGAUGCACCGAUCAAAUCAUUCUUUUAAUCAUUAAAAAUUAUGCAGUUGCAAUCAAAAACAUUCUCAGAGAGACUUAGAGCAGAGCCUGGCACCAGCAGGGUGUGGUGAUAUAGUCAUUUGUAAUUACUGUACCUACUCUGAAGGGUUAUAAAAUGUGUCAGAAAGUAAAAUUUGCUGAGCCCCAUUACCAAGAAGCAAAACUUACUAACUGGUGCUUUAAACUUUGCAUCUUAUAAAGGAAUGAUUUAUUUGACUUUUGACUGGUCCACUUGCAGAAAUCAUUACAUUGCAAUAUUCAGUGACUGUGCAAAGGGGAAAAAAAGGAUAAAUCAUACAGAGACAUUCUCAAGUUAACAUCUGGCGAGCAUAUAAGGCCAAAUCUGUAAGGCAAGAUCUGCCUACGAUGGCAUAAAUAAUGGUGUGUAUUUGCAGUUUAGGCCAAGGGAUAAGGGCUUUUGAUCAUAAAAAUAGUUCAUAACCAAUUGCAAUGAGAUGAUGCAAUUGUAAAAAUUUUGUUUCCACAAACUGUAUAAAGACAAUUAUGAUAUUUUAAAUAUUAACCCCUUUUAAAUUGUUUUCAAAUAAAAUUAUAACGGCUUUUUGUAAAACCAAAUUCUAAUUGACCCAAUCAAAUUUUAAGAUAAAUUAUGAAGGUGAGAAUAACACCAGCUUGAAAAUAUCAGUUUGCCAUUUGUCCAGCUACAUGCAAAGUCACCAGAAUAAAAUGGAAUUAUAUGAAAGAGGAGCAAUAAACUGCAUUAUUUACAUGUGUUCAAUAUUAUAAUCAGAGGUAAAAAGUGUGUUUUUAAAUAUUUGUACACACAAAGUUUUAUUAUCUACUUUACAUAAUACUGUGUUAGACACACUGGGAAAUGCAAAGAUAGAAAAGAUAAACUAUCUUCUCCUGAGAAGCCUUUACUAUGGUAGAAAAGAUAGGAGCACAUGUCAUUACAAUAAGAGGAAAUGUGAGAUAAGUGACCAAAGAGGAUUUUUGUCUUAAAAAAUCCUAAGUUUUUAUCUAAGAGUUUACAAGUAGAUUCUUCUGAGCCAGAACACCAUGGAAGGUUUCCUGGCAUGAUGACAUAUGAGAUUCAAGGAAUGGGUAUUAUGUUCAAAGCUCAAGACUGGGGAGAGAAGAUUACAUUUUACAGUUUAAAAUAUUUUAUUUACCUUUCCCAACACUUAUGCAUUUGUAUCUUCUGCAGCGAAUGAUAAAAUUU